CCAAUAGCGUAUAUUAAAGUUGUUGCAGUUAAAAAGCUCGUAGUUGAAUUUCGGGAUCAAGGAAUCGGUCAUGCCUCGGUAUGUACUGGUUUUAUUGGUUCUCACCUUCUAAAGAACCAUAAUGUCAUUUAUUUGAUGUUAUGGGGAAUUAGGACUGUUACCUUGAAAAAAUUAGAGUGUUUAAAGCAAGCUUACGCUUGAAUACAUUAGCAUGGAAUAA
rnacentral:rRNA from 1 species